rnacentral:rRNA from 2 species
UUCGGCGGCCAUGGCGGAGGGGUUAUACCUGAUCUCGUUUCGAUCUCAGAAGUGAAGUCCUCCUGCGUUUUGGGUGUGUACUGUGGAUGGUUUUCUAUGGGAAGUUCAUAGCGCUGCCGGCC